UGUAGGCUAAUUCUCACAGGGCUGUUAUUAUUCACAACUUAUAAGUGAGUCCUUAAUAGCCAUUCAAAUCUAUAAAUAACCAUCAUAUAGUUGGUCAAAUUGUCAUUUAACUGCAGAACAAUGACAAAAAAUAUGAAGAAUUUAAUAUGAAGUAUUUUAUUUUGAAAUGUAAUGUGAAAAAAUAUUAAAACAGCCGAAAAUACACAUUUGAUGUGGAGCCAUCAAACAGGGUCUUAUGCAUUAACUCUUUCUGUUCUGUUACACCUUUAACACCACGUUUAAAACCCCGUGGUUUAACAAGUCUGGUUUUCAGCUGGGAAGAUGGUUCCCUAUGGGAACCUGGCGGAACCAAGCAGAGGGCUAGUUUUGAAAAUGGACACCUGGUUAACCAAUCCAAAGAGCUGGGUACACCUUCAUGAAAAUACAUUUAAGGACAGGCCAGGCCGUGAGAAGGGUCUCUUGGCUUCUGGCUUUUGAAGAGGUGACUGGCUGACCUGGCCCCAUGCAGCCCGAUCGAGAUUUUCUGUCCCCUGAGGGGUGGUGAGUGGGGCUGCCGAGGCCCUCACUGGGGAGUCCACCAGGCCCAUCCCAGCGGAGCCUACCAGUCCUUUUUCCAGCAGCACUGCUGGGCCGUGCCAGCCGGAGGCUGUGUCAGUGCUGGCAGUGGCCCCAUGGCCAGGAGCAGCCAGGGCUGGGAGUGGCCACCGCUGGCCUGCUCCGGGGAUGGCCCUGUGGCCGGGACUGAGAGGCUGAAAAGUCAGCGUGACCGGGAUAAUGGCACGUGGCCAUUGCUGCCUUGGUGUGCCUCGCAAUGGACUUAGUUUGUUUAGCUGCUUUUAGCCAGCUGUGCUGCGAAGAGAAGGAUAAAAAGCAGCAGCAGGUUUUCUUGUUUGCAGAGUUCCACAUGAAGAAAGGUGCUGAGUGGAGCUGGCGGCCGGCACGGCUCGCUUGGUGUCGGCAGAGACCCCGUGAGCAGCAGCCAGAGGCACAGCGAGAAAUCUCCCUGAGGCACAGCCUGGAUAACAUCGAUCUUUCGGUGCUACAGGACUCUAUAACUCUUCCAAUUGAAAAAGCCUGAGAACACAGGAACCUACAAACUCCAAUUCUCUCCUGAAUCAGAAAACGGAAAGGGUGAGGAGGACACGUAAGGAAAACAACAUGGGACACUGACAAACGUUGCUUGCAAAUUCAGAUGCUAAAAAUAACUUCAUAGCAACUGACUUGUCUUCACAUCCUGUGCAGGACCACUCUGGAAACCACUACUGUCAGCAUUCCAGCAGUCUUGUCAACAACAAACUGCUUCCAGUUGCUGAUGAAGCCAUCUAGAAUUCGAUAUCUUGCACUGAAACGAAAGAAAAAUCUGUUACAGGCACCAUGCCUCUGGAAAGAUGGACAAAAAUGUAAAUAGACAAAAGAUGAACUAUGAGUGUACUUUAGGUUUACUAAAGGUAGGACAAUGUUGCCAGCCCUUCACUGUCCACCCAGAUGAUAUUGCUUUUAUGAAGGAUGAUCUGCUACAUGUAAUCAAACUUCUGAAUACACUGUAUUUAUUAUUGCCAAAUAAAUAAUCGCCACCAGUGCUACACACAGGAUUUCUGGCUCUGUCAAGAUGUGUUUGUUUCUGAGUCAUGGAUAUAUGCUAUGGUGUGAAGCUGUAAUUUAAGAUAUUUUACCCUAAUGUGAUAUA